rnacentral:lncRNA from 1 species
GUGCUUCUCAUUGGCAAGGAGCUUCACUUUCAUCAUCUCCUCUAGGAGCUGAGCAUGGGCAGCUCUUUCGGCAAGGCGUUGAGCAGCCUUUUGGUACUCCAGCUGACGACUCUCUAGGUAUGCAACUUGGAAAAGAAUUUCUUCGGCAUCAGCGGGAAUUUGGCCUCUGAGGGUCUUGAACAAGGCCUUGGCCGGAUCGGAGUCAUCGACUAAUUGGGCUGUGUCUUGGUGGAGGAGGGCUGAUAAUUCUACUAACUUUGCCCUGAUUUCUGCCGAUGUGAUCCCAACUGCUCGAGAAGAACUUGCCUCCUUGCCUUCAUCCUUAGAGAUGUCGAUGGCAAAGGAGAACAAGUUGUCAGGAGAGUCUUGUUCCUAAAAAAUAAAAUAAAAUAAGUUAUUCUAUGAUCAAGCACUGAUAAACAAUACAGAUAG